rnacentral:lncRNA from 1 species
UUGGUGCCACGGAUCACAUGACAGAUAAUCCUCAUACCUUUGCAAGUUUUUAAUCACAUAAAGCACAUACUCCUGAUACCAUAGCUGAUGGGUCAACAUAUACUAUUGAAGGUUAUGGGACCGGUAAGCUUACUUCUUCUAUUACCCUUCCUCUGUACUAAGUUUACCAAAUUCUUGCCUUUAACUUAAUUUCUAUGAGUAAACUUAUCAAAGACCUAUGUAAAAAUAUAAUAUUUUGUUGUAUUUCACCGUAGAAAUCAUAACCUAUUUAUACAUGAAAGACGGUAUCUAAAUAGAAAAGAAAAUCAAGCCUAUUAUUAUACAAUCCCUAAGAUUAAACAACUGACCCAUUUAUCAAUAUUUACUUUCUAUAUUAACAUAUUUACUUCCUAUAACCUAUAACACUCCCCCUCAAGUUGGAGCAUAAAUGUUAAUCAUGCCAACUUGUUACAUAUAUAAUAAACUCGAGUCCCAUUUAGAGUUUUAGUGAAGAUGUCUCCUGGUUGUUCUCCAGUUCAGAUAUGUCCUGUUGAUAUUAUUUUUUGUUGGACAUUUUCACGAACAAAAUGACAAUUAAUCUCGAUGUUCAGAUUCAGCACUAGAACGAGAGACCACAUUUUCUCAGCUCGGUAAAACGCCUUACACACAUCAUAAAUACGAGAAAUAUUCUUUUUGCUAAAAUAUAGAAAUUCCAAAUACUCCAUUAAUUCAUAUACAAAUUCAGUGAUUAACAAGUCUAAUCACCUCACUAUGAAUAGACUUUCGAAUCUGCAGAAACAAACUAGCAUCAUCCCUCAUCCAAUCUCUACGAGUUUCAUCAGUUGGAGGAUCCUUGGUAAGAUUAUCAUCCAUUUCAAUACUUCAUAAAUAAAUAUGGAUAGUCUUACUCCAAUCCAAAAAUUUAUAUCCAUUUAAUUUGUAUUCCGUGAUUUUAGUAAUCACAAGAAUCACAUUAGUUAUGGUGAUUUUAACUUCAGUCAUUAGGACAACUAACCCAAAACAAUCAAAAUAAAUAAAGGAUAAGAAAAAUAGUACUCGUAAACGGUACUCGUGAACUGUACCCGAUGAGCAGAGCUCUAAGUCUCCAAAUGUCGCAUAACGCAAAUGAACAAAGUCCAAAUGUUAUCCUUUAUGAGUAACCCAAAUGAACAGAGUUCUAAAUCUCUAAAUGUUAUCCUUUAUGGGUAAUCUAAAUGAACAAAGCCCUAAGUCUUCAAAUGUUAUCCUUUAUGGUAAUCCAAAUAAACAGAAUCCUAAGUCUCAAAAUGUUACCUUUUAUGGGUAACCCAAAUGAACAGAGCCCUAAGUCCCCAAAAAAAAUUAAAUCUCUAUGGAUGAGGCUUUGAUACCAUGUAGAAAGAUAAUAUUUUGUUGUAUUUCACCGUAGAGAUCACAACCUAUUUAUACAUGAAAGACGGUAUCUAAAUAGAAAAGAAAAUCAAGCCUAUAAUUAUACAAUCCCUAAGAUUAAGCAACUGACCCAUUUAUCAAUAUUUACUUCCUAUAACCUAUAACAACCUAAAUUGUUGUGUUUCAUUAUUCCCUGAUCACUGUCUUUUCCAAAAUCUUAUGACGAAGCAGAUUAUUGGUAAAUGAAAUGUAUCCGAUGGCUUCUACAUUUUGGAUGAGUGGGCACCUCAUUUAGUUGCCUGUUCCAGUGUUGUCUCUCGACUUGAAGCACAUUGUCGGUUGGGAGAUCAUUCAUUACCAGUUUUGAAUAAGCUAUGCCCUCAAUUUCAGGAUGUAUCUUCAGUGGAAUGUGAGUUAUGUCAUUUAGGGGCCUUGUUUUGUUGGGUCUAAGAGUGGGUUUAGAUAUUUUCUCACUUUUGUAGAUGAUUUUUCUAGAAUGAUUUGGAUUUAUUUUAUGAAGUGUGAUUUUUAGAUUUUUUCUCAUUUUUCUACUUUUUGUGAUGAAAUCAAGACUCAAUUUAAUGCUUCUGUGCCUAUUUUGUGAAGUGAC